rnacentral:rRNA from 1 species
AGCAGCCGCGGUAAUUCCAGCUCCAAUAGCGUAUAUUAAAGUUGUUGCAGUUAAAAAGCUCGUAGUUGAAUUUCGGGAUCAAUCUGCCGGUCGUGCCUCCGGUAUGCACUGGUUUUAUUGGUUUCUCCCUUCUGACGAAUCAUGAUGUCAUUAAUUUGGUGUCAUGGGGAAUCAGGACUGUUGCUUUGAAAAAUUAGAGUGUUUAAAGCAGGCUCACGCUUGAAUACAUUAGCAUGGAAUAAUGAAAUAGGACGUUUGACCCUAUUUUGUUGGUUUCUAGGAUCGACGUAAUGAUUAAUAGGGAUAGUUGGGGGCAUUAGUAUUCAAUUGUCAGAGGUGAAAUUCUUGGAUUUAUUGAAGACUAACUACUGCGAAAGCAUUUGCCAAGGAUGUUUUCAUUAAUCAAGAACGAAAGUUAGGGGAUCGAAGACGAUCAGAUACCGUCGUAGUCUUAACCAUAAACUAUGCCGACUAGGGAUCGGAUGAUGUUAAUUUUUUAAUGACUCAUUCGGCGCCUUAC